GUCUUGCGGUGGUAGGUGUGGUGGACGCUGCCUUGCCGUUCAAGAUGCAUCAGCUGCACUCUUCCUGUUUUGGCCUAGGAACAGAUCUGCCACCAAUGCAGAGACUUGGUGCUACUUCACAAGGAUUUGCAUCCUGCAUUUGGAAGACUUGAAGAAGAAACAUUGCUUGGCAUUGGGAUUUGAAGCUAUGAGCUCGAGCUGUGCAAGGCUGCCCUGGACAGAGGGUGUCUGCCUUCUCAUCUUUCUAAUCUUGAAGACAAGGCCUUCCUAAAUUGAAGGCUUCCAAAGUGUUUCUCAUUGUGAUGGUUGCUACAGUGGAGCUGUGAAGUGGUGCUUAGUUCAGCCAGCAAAAAGUGAAGCUUGUGGGGAGUGUGAGAAACAAGACACAUCUGAGGGAAGGACCAUGCUGCCUCCAGCCUCACUGGGUGAGGAGGCAACUUUGAAGCUGCUGUAUGAAGAACCAAGGAGGGGGAAGAUGGCAGAAUAAUGGGUUACGCUUGCAUGAACAGCAGUAAAAAAGCCAAAGGUGUUUUACCACGCUGAUAAUGCUUGCCUGCUGUUCAUUGGAACCAAUAAAGCUUUGUAAACUCUACCUGUUGUU